rnacentral:rRNA from 1 species
UACGAAGGGGGCUAGCGUUGCUCGGAAUCACUGGGCGUAAAGCGCACGUAGGCGGAUUGCUAAGUCAGGGGUGAAAUCCUGGAGCUCAACUCCAGAACUGCCUUUGAUACUGAAGAUCUUGAGUUCGGGAGAGGUGAGUGGAACUGCGAAGUGUAGAGGUGAAAUUCGUAGAUAUUCGCAAGAACACCAGUGGCGAAGGCGGCUCACUGGCCCGAUACUGACGGCUGAGGCACGAAAGCGUGGGGAAG